CCUAGGAAAGUUGGACAGACAUAAAACUUGGUCCAGGAACUCCUGGAUAUUGCAAUGUGUACUCUGUUUUCAUCUGAAUUUAUUAGUUGCUAGAGGUUGUACCUUUGACGUGGACCAUAAAUUGUCCAUUUGAGCUGAACUUUCUCCAGAGGAGAAAGUCCCGAUGCAAGCUGCCAUGUUUCUUAGCUGUAAUUUCUUUUACCAUCGUCUGAAGAAUUUCUUCCUACCUGUUUGCUAGGCCUGACCAGUAUUCAAGCACCCUAGCCUUUUUUUCCCUUGGCAAGAAACCUUGGCAGGUGCUAUGAGGUACAGAAGCUGGAGAGAUAGUUCCGAAACUCCUUGAGGGCUUGGAGGGUUUAGGGUGUUUGAAAAUGAGACCCAAAUAAAAUUCUUUUCCAUGUCGUUGUUCUGCUGGAACUGUUAUUCUUAUUUCUCUCGUCAACAAUGGAUAUUGUGCCACAAAGUGCCCAGGCAGCUGGAAGCACACAUAAAACCAUCGAUGCUCCUUUCCGUAGGAGAAAUAAGUGAACGGACAAUCUUUUCAUCUUUGUAUAAAUUCAGAUGUGAUUAGCCAAGUCCAGAAGAUUUGGUCUACUUCUCACUAAAUCCCAUCUGUUCUUCAGAUAAUACUUUUUCUUUGAGUUCAGACGCGAUUAGCCUUCAUGAUGCAUGGAUGCAAAUUUGGACAGUUGGAUUCUUGAUGUGCACAUAAAUACAUUGAGAAGAUGGAACUAGAAUUAAACUUCCGUCCAACUGCAGGUCAAGGUUAGAGUGGUUCUGCAACUAUUUCCAUCUGAAAAGAUAUACUUUGCAGCAUCCUGUAUGAUACGUAUAUGCUUGCAGAGGCGUCCGAGCUGUCGAGGUGAGCAGUGGUGGACAACUAUAUAGUGUGUCCUCUUCUUCCUCGACGAUGCCUCCGUGCUUUCCCAUGUCGCCUCACCAGCCACCACCAACAGCAGUGUAUUGAUCUAUGGCGGGCAAGACCAAAGCACUGCAGCCGCCCGAGGGGCGCCCAAGGCCAAGCCUACACUAGCAGCGGCGAUGACGGAGGCGGAGGCGAAGGAGCUCCCCAAGGCCAUCGCGUGGCAGCUGGUCCAGGACAAGCUCGCCUGGGUUGUCGUGGCCGGCGCCGGCGAAGGAGGAGGGUGGAGGUGUGGUGGACAAGGACGCCAUGGCCGCCUUCGCCACUGCCUCUCUACCACUUCAGAAUAUCACUAUAUCUUCAUCCCUGCCUCUCUGCCACUUCAGAAUAAUAGUUGACGUUUUCACCAUAAAUCUGUGUACUGCAGCAUUUUUAUAGAUACUCUCUGUAAAUAAAAUCUUUUUUUCUUUAAGGGUUCAUAUAUAACUCUGUUACAACAUUGAACUAAAUCCUGAAUUCCUGAUCCUU